CACGAACCGUACGAACGUUAUUCGGAAUCACUGGGCUUAAAGCGUGCGUAGGCGGCCUAGCAAGUUGGGUGUGAAAGCCCUCGGCUCAACCGAGGAAUUGCGCCCAAAACUGCUAGACUUGAGGAAGAUAGAGGUGAGCGGAACUGAUGGUGGAGCGGUGAAAUGCGUUGAUAUCAUUAGGAACACCGGUGGCGAAAGCGGCUCACUGGGUCUUUUCUGACGCUGAGGUACGAAAGCUAGGGGAGCGAACGGG
rnacentral:rRNA from 1 species